UUAGCUUUCAUGCUAAAUGUGUUUUCUCUUGUUUUUACAAGCCAAACAGAAGCAGAAGCAGUAUGUUUGUAAUGCAGAUGAUUCUACUAUGUAUCAGAGCUAGAAUUAAGAAUAGCUGUGUCAUAACAUACUCUCUACUACGAACUGUUUUGCUCUUAGUUGAUGACAACUGGUAGUUCUAAUCUCAAUUACUGGCGGGUUACGCUUUAGGGCCCGAGUUACCCCCUAAUACAUGAUUUGACCAGGGCCUUACUAAAAACGUAGUAAAACUCAGGGUUCUAGUUAUGCUCCAAAGUGUGUGUUGGCCCGUCCGCCAGGUGUGGCCCGUUCAAGCCCGUGUGUUGGGCCCGUUCCAAGCCCAGUUGUGUGUUGGCCCGUUUCAAGCCCAGUGUUUGGCCCGUUUCAGCCCAGGUGUGUUGCCCGUUCCAAGCCCAGUGUGUGUUGGCCCGUUUCAAGCCCAGUGUGUGUUGGCCCGUUUCAAGCCCAGUGUGUGUUGGCCCGUUUCAAGCCCAGUGUGUGUUGGCCCGUUCAAGCCCAGUGUGUGUUGGGCCGUUUUCAAGCCAGUGUGGUUGCCCGUUUCAAGCCCAGUGUGUGUUGGCCCGUUUUCAGCCCGUGUGUGUUGGCCCGUUUCAAGCCCAGUGUGUGUUGGCCCGUUUCAAGCCCAGUGUGUGUGUUGGCCCGUUUCAAGCCCAGUGUGUGUUGGCCCGUUUCAAGCCCAGUGUGUGUUGGCCCGUUUCAAGCCCAAGUGUGUGUUGGCCACGUUUUUCACGCCCGUGUGUGUUGGCCCCGUUUCAAAAGCCCAGGGUGUGUUGGCCCGUUCCAAGCCCAGUGUGUUUGGCCCGUUUCCGCCCAGUGUGUGUUGGCCCGUUCCAAGCCCAGUGUGUGUUGGCCCGUUUCAAGCCCAGUGGUGUGUGUGGUUGGCCCGUUCCAAGCCCAGUGUUGUU
rnacentral:lncRNA from 1 species